rnacentral:rRNA from 1 species
UCGGAAUUGCUAGUAAUCGCGGAUCAGCAUGCCGCGGUGAAUACGUUCCCGGGCCUUGUACACACCGCCCGUCACACCAUGGGAGCCGGUAAUACCCGAAGUCAGUAGUCCAACCUCGUGAGGACGCUGCCGAAGGUAGGAUUGGCGACUGGGGUGAAGUCGUAACAAGGUAUC